rnacentral:rRNA from 1 species
GACGAACGCUGGCGGCGUGCUUAACACAUGCAAGUCGAACGGAAAGGCCCCUUUGGGGGUACUCGAGUGGCGAACGGGUGAGUAACACGUGAGUAACCUGCCCUUGACUUCGGGAUAACUUCAGGAAACUGGGGCUAAUACCGGAUAGGAAUCCUUGCUGCAUGGUGGGGGUUGGAAAGCUUCGGCGGUUUUGGAUGGACUCACGGCUUAUCAGCUUGUUGGUGGGGUAGUGGCUUACCAAGGCUUUGACGGGUAGCCGGCCUGAGAGGGCGACCGGCCACAUUGGGACUGGGAUACGGCCCAGACUCCUACGGGAGGCAGCAGUGGGGAAGAUUGCACAAUGGGCGGAAGCCUGAUGCAGCAACGCCGCGUGCGGGAUGACGGCCUUCGGGUUGUAAACCGCUUUCAGCAGGGGCGAAGCUUGUGGUGACGGUACCUGCAGAAGAAGCACCGGCUAACUACGUG